ACGGAAGGCAGCAGUGGGGAAUAUUGGGCAAUGGGCGAAAGCCUGACCCAGCAACGCCGCGUGAAGGAAGAAGGUUUUCGGAUUGUAAACUUCUUUUAUCAGGGACGAAGAAAGUGACGGUACCUGAUGAAUAAGCCACGGCUAACUACGUGCCAGCAGCCGCGGUAAUACGUAGGUGGCAAGCGUUAUCCGGAUUUACUGGGUGUAAAGGGCGCGUAGGCGGGGAUGCAAGUCAGGUGUGAAAUCUAUGGGCUUAACCCAUAAACUGCAUUUGAAACUGUAUCUCUUGAGUGUCGGAGAGGUAGACGGAAUUCCUAGUGUAGCGGUGAAAUGCGUAGAUAUUAGGAGGAACACCAGUGACGAAGGCGGUCUACUGGACGAUAACUGACGCCGAGGCGCGAAAGCGUGGGGAGCAAACAGGAUUAGAUACCCUGGUA
rnacentral:rRNA from 1 species